CAGCUGACAGGCUGCAGCUGCAGAGGGGGAGCGGAGAGGUGCAUGCUCGGGGUUCGAUGCUGUCAGGAGCAUGGACACACCUGUCUCCACCGCAACUACUGCCUGGAGCCAGAAAAAUGUGGCCCGUGUGAACCCCCUGUCCAGAUUUGGAGACAAGGCUCCAUUUACAAUGUUGUUGUGUUAAGAUACUCCAGGAAGCGUCCAGCCGUGGCAAUUCCAGCAGCGACAGUGGAUCAAUUAACGAAAGCAUGAUUAACAUUACAGGAGAGCACAGAGAAAUAAUGGACGUCUCCGGAAAGUGGAUUAGGAUGAGUGGAACCUUGACGUGUGAGCCAGGAUACUGCACCAGUGAAGGACACUGUCGGAAUCAGCGUGACAUAAGCCAGACUGAAAUAGUUUGGGAAUGCAAUUGAUGAAUUGCUGUAUUGAUUUGGUUCUGUCUCACUUACCAUAAUUAUAGCACUGUAAUGGAUGGCA